rnacentral:rRNA from 1 species
GGAGGAGGUGAAAUCAUCAUACCCCUUAUGACCUGGGCUACACACGUGCUACAAUGGGCAGAACAAAGGGCAGCGAAGACGCGAGGCUAAGCCAAUCCCACAAAUCUGUUCUCAGUUCGGAUCGCAGUCUGCAACUCGACUGCGUGAAGCUGGAAUCGCUAGUAAUCNGCGGAUCAGCAUGCCGCGGUGAAUACGUUGCCGGGCCUUGUACACACCGCCCGUCACACCACGAGAGUUUUAACACCCGAAGUCGGUGAGGUAACCUUUCGGAUCCAGCCGCCGAANNGUNNACAGAUGAUGNUGGAAGU